CCUACGGGUGGCAGCAGUGAGGAAUAUUGGUCAAUGGACGAGAGUCUGAACCAGCCAAGUAGCGUGAAGGAUGACUGCCCUAUGGGUUGUAAACUUCUUUUAUAUGGGAAUAAAACGUUCCACGUGUGGGAUUUUGUAUGUACCAUAUGAAUAAGGAUCGGCUAACUCCGUGCCAGCAGCAGCGGUAAUAAGGAGGAUCCGAGCGUUAUCCGGAUUUAUUGGGUUUAAAGGGAGCGUAGGUGGAUUGUUAAGUCAGUUGUGAAAGUUUGCGGCUCAACCGUAAAAUUGCAGUUGAAACUGGCAGUCUUGAGUACAGUAGAGGUGGGCGGAAUUCGUGGUGUAGCGGUGAAAUGCUUAGAUAUCACGAAGAACUCCGAUUGCGAAGGCAGUUCACUGGACUGCAACUGACACUGAGGCUCGAAAGUGUGGGUAUCAAACAGGAUUAGAUACCCUUGUAGUC
rnacentral:rRNA from 1 species